AUUGAACGCUGGCGGCAGGCCUAACACAUGCAAGUCGAACGAGUGGCGGACGGGUGAGUAAUGUCUGGGAAACUGCCUGAUGGAGGGGGAUAACUACUGGAAACUGUAGCUAAUACCGCAUACCAUCGGAUGUGCCCAGGUGGGAUUAGCUAGUGGGUGGGGUAAAGGCUCACCAAGGCGACGAUCCCUAGCUGGUCUGAGAGGAUGACCAGCCACACUGGAACUGAGACACGGUCCAGACUCCUACGGGAGGCAGCAGUGGGGAAUAUUGCACAAUGGGCGCAAGCCUGACGCAGCCAUGCCGCGUGAAUGAAGAAGGCCUUCGGGUUGUAAAGUACUUUCAGUGGGGAGGCGUUACCUGCAGAAGAAGCACCGGCUAACUCCGUGCCAGCAGCCGCGGUAAUUC
rnacentral:rRNA from 1 species